ACAUACUCAAAAAGAAAAUGUAAGCACUAUAAUAAUAAUUGACAGAUAUGCUGAGUUGUUCUAAUGACAAGAAAACACGAAUAAUAUGUGGUGACUUUAACAUUGACUUAUUAAACCCUAAUAGACACAAAAAACCCCAACAGAUUUCAUAAAUACAAUGUAUAGCAACAGUCUUUUCCCAGUCAUUCUGAAACCCAGCAGAAUAACAGUUGAUACGGCCACAUUAAUAGAUAAUAUAUUUAUUAGAGCUAUUGAUCAUAAAAAGGAAAGUGGACUUCUCAUAACUGAUAUAAGUGACCAUCGACCGGUCUUUGCAGUCUUUCAUAAUUACUUUGAUAGAAAAACUAAAUCAAUAACCCACAUAUUGGAAAUAAGACUCAGAA